GAAGUGAUAUGCUUGUUUCAAGGAUUAAGCCAUGCAUCUGUUAGAAUGGUACCAUUAACGGUGCCUAUCGGGGAAUGGCUCAUUAUAACGGAGUUAAGUUACUUGAUUGUGAACGUUAGAAGGAUAACUGCAUUAAUUGUGGAGCUAAUACUUGCCAAAAAGCGUCGCAAGACGCUGUGAAAGAUAGUUCCCUCGACCAAUUUCUUCUAAUGAGAUAUAUCUUUAUCGACGGAGGCCAGUGACCUAGAGUCGGGCCCGUUUCAAUCACGACUCCGAUCUAUCAGGUUGACGUUAGUGUAUUGGACUAACGUGCCAGUAACGGAUACGGGGGAUUAGGGUUUGAUUCCGGAGAGGGAGCUUGAGAAACGGCUGCCAACACUAAGGUGUGCAGCAGGCGCGUAAAUUACCCAAUGCAGCCAUUGUGAGGUAGCGACGAAAAAUAACAAAGACAACCAUUCAAAAUGGAUGUCUAUUGGAAUGAGAGCAAUGUAAACAACUCAACGAGUAACAAGAAGAGGGAAAGUCUGGUGCCAGCAGCCGCGGUAAUUCCAGCUCUUCGAGCGUAUAUUUAAGUUGUUGCGGUUGAAAAGUUCGUAGUCGAAUCUUUGGCGUUACCGACGCUCGUCCGUCUGUACGAUGUGUACGUCGUCAGUGCGCCACUUUGGUUCAUUGUGGGCGUGGGCGAUUAACUUCGCUCGCGUUUCGUGUGAGCCCUACUACUGUGAUAUAAUCGAAGUGUUCAAGACAGGCCAACUGGGCCACUGAACGAUUUUGCAUGGGAUAAUAGAACAAGACUCGUCUUAGAUCUAUUGGUUCAAUCCGAGCGAGUAAUGAUUAAUACGAACGGAUGGGGUGUUUUGUAUGAGUGGGCCAGAGGUGAAAUUCUAUGCCUCCAUUCAGACAAACUACUGCGAAGGCAUUGCACAAACACGUUUCGAUUGAUCAAGAACGAAAGUGUGGGGAUCGAAGAUGAUCAGAUACCGUCGUAGUCCACACUGUAAACGAUACUGACCAAGGAUCGGCGGACGAUUACUUUUUACGUCUCCGUUGGAACUUUAGAGAAAUUAUAGUUUUUGAGUUCCGGGGGGAGUAUGGUCGCAAGGCUGAAACUUAAAGGAAUUGGCGGAAGGGCACCACCAGGAGUGGAGCUUGCGGCUUAAUUUGACCCAACACGGGAAAACUCACCGGGGCCGGACAUAUUUAGGAGUGUCAGGUUGAUAGCCCUUACACGAUAU
rnacentral:rRNA from 1 species